GGCCUAAAACUGGGAACGGGUCGGAUUGUACGCACCCUUGUGCGUGCCGUCUGUAACCGAAAACAGGUCCAGCGUGUGGCUGAGCGUGUGUGUCUGUGCACCCUGAUCCGAGUGGCCUAGCGCUGGGGCGGGCCCGUGAGUCCCGGCCAGGUGGGUUUGCAGGCGUCUCGACCCGCAGGUCCUGCCCUAGCAGUGGGAGCCCAGACAGACCUUCUACUGGGCAGUCAGCAAAUGAACAGUCUGUGGCAGUGAGCACCCUGUGCAGAGAGUACGGGACCCUCUGGAGGAGGUGAAAUUUUAGUGGAGACCUGGAGGAAAGCCUGGUAGAGCAAGGGAAAAGUUUUCCAAGAAGAGGAAAUUGCAUGUGCAAAGAGGGUCCGAGCUUGGCUGGCUGAGUUAGCUGAGGAGAGGUCUCUGGCCAGAAGGAGGCAGGCUUGGGUUCAUUCGAGCAGUUGGCAGAAGGGUGUCACUGGAAAGUGAGGAAUUGCAUAUCCUUCAGGGAGGACUCAACCCAGAAACGAAGACAGACCCACCCCAAGGAACCUCACCUACAGCUUCAGACACUAGACACAGAAGAGCCUGCAGGCUUUUGAAGACAGAAAAAGGCAGAUACAGGCCAUUCCAAAGUCCAGGGAGUGACGGGGCACUGGAUUUCAGCAGCAGUAACAGGCAAAAAACAAUGAACAGAGCAGUCAGAAAGAAUUCUGGACCGAAAUAUUAAAUAAAAAGCAAAGGCAGGGACUCCCCUUCUCUGAUGGUCCAGUGGUU